AACGAACGCUGGCGGCAUGCCUAACACAUGCAAGUCGAACGAGACCUUCGGGUCUCGUGGCGCACGGGUGCGUAACGCGUGGGAACCUGCCCUUAGGUUCGGAAUAACUCCCCGAAAGGGGUGCUAAUACCGGAUAAUGUCCUCGUACCAAAGAUUUAUCGCCUUUGGAUGGGCCCGCGUUGGAUUAGCUAGUUGGUAGGGUAAAAGCCUACCAAGGCGACGAUCCAUAGCUGGUCUGAGAGGAUGAUCAGCCACACUGGGACUGAGACACGGCCCAGACUCCUACGGGAGGCAGCAGUGGGGAAUAUUGGACAAUGGGCGAAAGCCUGAUCCAGCAAUGCCGCGUGAGUGAUGAAGGCCUUAGGGUUGUAAAGCUCUUUUACCCGGGAUGAUAAUGACAGUACCGGGAGAAUAAGCUCCGGCUAACUCCGUG
rnacentral:rRNA from 1 species